rnacentral:rRNA from 1 species
UGACCUCGGAUCAGUAGGAUACCCGCUGAACUUAAGCA